rnacentral:tRNA from 1 species
GCCUGGGUGGCUCAGUCAGCUGAGCACCUGACUUCAGCUCAGGUCAUGAUCUCACAGUUCGUGAGUUCAAGCCCCACAUCGGGCU